GACAGCAUUGCCUAGUGGAAAGAGCACAGGACUGGAAGUCCAGAGACCUGGGUUCUAGUCCUAGUUCUGCCC
rfam:Ornithorhynchus anatinus chromosome 2, whole genome shotgun sequence.